rnacentral:tRNA from 1 species
GCAGAGGGUAGUUUAAG